AUUUGAUGGUGUGGACAGCUAGAACACAACUCCUUGAAUCUUUCCCAAUACUCAUACAAGGUUUCACCUGUACAUUGCCUUAUCCCAUAUAUUUCAUUCCUAAUAUU
rnacentral:snoRNA from 1 species